rnacentral:tRNA from 1 species
GAGGAUAUGGCUCAGUGGUAGAGCGCAUGCUUAGCAUGCACAAUGUCGUGGGUUCAAUCCCCUGACCCUCC